rnacentral:rRNA from 1 species
AGAACGAACGCUGGCGGCGUGGAUAAGACAUGCAAGUCGAACGGGAUAUCACGAGUAGCAAUAUGAGUGAUGUUCAGUGGCGAACGGGUGCGUAACACGUGGAUACAUUCCGGGAAGCGGGGGAUAGCCCAGGGAAACUUGGAUUAAUACCGCAUGUGGUCGAAAGACUAAAGGACGGGGACCGCAAGGCCUGUCACUUCCCGAUUGGUCCGCGGCCUAUCAGCUAGUUGGCGGGUAAAGCCCACC